rfam:TPA: Bos taurus chromosome 23, whole genome shotgun sequence.
UCCCUGGUGAUCCAGUGGUUAGGAUUCUGCACUCUUAAUGCCAAAGGCCUGAGUUCAAUCCUUGGUUGGGGAA